CUUGUCAGCUCGGCCCCUGAAAGACUGGGAUGAGCAGAACUCCCCUGGUUACUUGUGAUGAGCAUGUAUAUGGUGGGUCAAGCUGCUGAAAUCUUGAAGUGAUUUAUAACUGCAGUCCAACCCGAUGAAGGAAAUCCAGCCCAGAGAUGCCUAGUGACCUCCCCAAAGAGUUGAGACUGGAAUUCAUGUCUCCUCAUUUCCAGAGCAAUUUGUUUUCAGUACAAGUUGUAGAAUGAUGGCAAAUAAGCUCUAAAGAUCCUGAACUAUGCCUGGGAACAACAUGUUCGUGUGACGUAAAGAUAUUUGGGAUACAAUGCAAUGGGGAGAAAGCAGGGAGGAAAGGAGGAAUAUACCCUUUGAUGUAAUCCUGCUUUGUCACUGUGGAGAAUCAAGCAUAAUUUAACUGAAUUAAAACCAGUUCUCUAAUGCAUCAGAUAAAAAUGCCAUAUUGAUAAUUCAGUACCAAACUGCAUUUAAAAAUACCACCUGUAUAAAACAUCAUACCAAUUUAAGCUGCUACCCACCC